CCUACGGGAGGCAGCAGUGAGGAAUAUUGGUCAAUGGACUAGAGUCUGAACCAGCCAAGUAGCGUGAAGGAUGACUGCCCUAUGGGUUGUAAACUUCUUUUAUAUGGGAAUAAAAUGUUCCACGUGUGGGAUUUUGUAUGUACCAUAUGAAUAAGGAUCGGCUAACUCCGUGCCAGCAGCCGCGGUAAUACGGAGGAUCCGAGCGUUAUCCGGAUUUAUUGGGUUUAAAGGGAGCGUAGGUGGAUUGUUAAGUCAGUUGUGAAAGUUUGCGGCUUAACCGUAAAAUUGCAGUUGAAACUGGCAGUCUUGAGUACAGUAGAGGUAGGCGGAAUGCGUGGUGUAGCGGUGAAAUGCUUAGAUAUCACGAAGAACUCCGAUUGCGAAGGCAGCUCACUGGACUGCAACUGACACUGAGGCUCGAAAGUGUGGGUAUCGAACAGGAUUAGAUACCCUUGUAGUC
rnacentral:rRNA from 1 species